rnacentral:rRNA from 1 species
UCCUACGGGAGGCAGCAGUGGGGAAUAUUGCACAAUGGGCGGAAGCCUGAUGCAGCAACGCCGCGUGAACGAUGAAGGCCUUCGGGUCGUAAAGUUCUGUCCUUGGGGAAGAUAAUGACGGUACCCUUGAAGGAAGCCCCGGCUAACUACGUGCCAGCAGCCGCGGUAAUACGUAGGGGGCGAGCGUUAUCCGGAAUUAUUGGGCGUAAAGAGUACGUAGGUGGCUGUGCAAGCGCGGGGUUUAAUGCAGUGGCUUAACCACUGUACGCCUUGCGAACUGUACGGCUUGAGUGCAGGAGGGGAAAGCGGAAUUCCUAGUGUAGCGGUGAAAUGCGUAGAUAUUAGGAGGAACACCGGUGGCGAAGGCGGCUUUCUGGACUGCAACUGACACUGAGGUACGAAAGCGUGGGGAGCAAACAGGAUUAGAUACCCUGGUAGUCCACGCCGUAAACGAUGAGCACUAGGUGUCGGGUUCGCAAGAGCUCGGUGCCGCAGUUAACGCAUUAAGUGCUCCGCCUGGGGAGUACGUGCGCAAGCAUAAAACUCAAAGGAAUUGACGGGGACCCGCACAAGCAGCGGAGCAUGUGGUUUAAUUCGAAGCAACGCGAAGAACCUUACCAGGGCUUGACAUCCCUCUGACAGGUGGGUAAUGCCACCCUCCCUUCGGGGCAGAGGUGACAGGUGGUGCAUGGUUGUCGUCAGCUCGUGUCGUGAGAUGUUGGGUUAAGUCCCGCAACGAGCGCAACCCUUGUCAUUAGUUGCCAUCAGGUAAAGCUGGGCACUCUAAUGAGACCGCCGGGGAUAACUCGGAGGAAGGUGGGGAUGACGUCAAAUCAUCAUGCCCCUUAUGUUCUGGGCUACACACGUGCUACAAUGGCCGGUACAGAGAGAGGCGAACCCGCAAGGGGGAGCAAAACUCCAAAACCGGUCCCAGUUCGGAUUGCAGGCUGAAACUCGCCUGCAUGAAGUCGGAGUUGCUAGUAAUCGCGAAUCAGCAUGUCGCGGUGAAUGCGUUCCCGGGUCUUGUACACACCGCCCGUCACACCACGGAAGUUGGGGGCGCCCGAAGUCGGUCGAUAAAUAGGCUGCCUAAGGCGAAACCAAUGACUGGGGUGAAGUCGUAACAAGGUAGCCA